GAUGAACGCUGGCGGCGUGCCUAAUACAUGCAAGUCGAGCGAACAGACGAGGAGCUUGCUCCUCUGACGUUAGCGGCGGACGGGUGAGUAACACGUGGAUAACCUACCUAUAAGACUGGGAUAACUUCGGGAAACCGGAGCUAAUACCGGAUAAUAUAUUGAACCGCAUGGUUCAAUAGUGAAAGACGGUUUUGCUGUCACUUAUAGAUGGAUCCGCGCCGCAUUAGCUAGUUGGUAAGGUAACGGCUUACCAAGGCAACGAUGCGUAGCCGACCUGAGAGGGUGAUCGGCCACACUGGGACUGAGACACGGUCCAGACUCCUACGGGAGGCAGCAGUAGGGAAUCUUCCGCAAUGGGCGAGAGCCUGACGGAGCAACGCCGCGUGAGUGAUGAAGGUCUUCGGAUCGUAAAACUCUGUUAUUAGGGAAGAACAAAUGUGUAAGUAACUAUGCACGUCUUGACGGUACCUAAUCAGAAAGCCACGGCUAACUACGUG
rnacentral:rRNA from 1 species